rnacentral:lncRNA from 1 species
GUCCUUCUUAAGGCUCUAAGCCUCCUGGUUUUUGCACAGAAGAUGCCUGUUGCCCUGGAUACUUGGUCUCACUCUUCCAGCAGGUAGGGCUCCGAGGAAGAAUGUCCAGCAACACUGAGCCCUCCCCUAUCUUGCCAGGCUUCUGUUGGGUGAUGGAGUUCAUCAAACCGGGGUUCAUCAUAGGAAUGGUGCACAUAUCUGUGAGCUGUGCCUUUGCCCGGAAUGAUAAUAGAGAGAGGCUGGGAGGUUUUUGGAGCAGAACCACGCCAUCGUCUCUCCUGGGACUCCGGCUUGCUGACUGCGGAUCUUGGCACUUGUCAGCUUCCAUAACCGUGCUACCGGACAGACGUGCUGGGGCCCAGGAACUCUACCUCAUGGCUUCUAAGCAGGCAGAUUUGGCCCAGAGGGCAUGCCGCUGCUUCUGAUGACAGGAUGAACCCCGGAAAGCCAUGGGUACCACCUCUAGGGUGGGACAGAGGUAAGCCCAAGGUCAAGUGGAACCGAACCUUUACCUGUAGGACCGAGCCUUUCCCUGAGAGACUGAGUUACCCCAGGGAGACUGCUGGACUAGAGGGGACCAGAAUACCCUCAGCUGCAAGGGAAUCUCAGCCGGCAAUAAAGAGGAGGGAAGGACUGACACACUGCAGCUCAGACAACCUCGAAACCAUCGGGUUGAUGGGAAGCAGCGGGCACUGAAGAGCACGCUUUCAGUUUAUGGCCUUUGGCUGGAGGCAGAGGCUCACUGGAGGAACACCCGUGUCCAAUGGCUUUGUCCGCAAUGAAGAUACUGCUGCCUACAUGGUACGUAUCCUCUUUGUGAGGACUCAGGAAAUGUGCUUUGGCCUUAGGUUCCAAAAUAGUUCUUCUCCAGAACAACCGGUUUACUUUUAUCUCAUAAGCCUUGUAACGUGUGUGAAGGAUCCCUUCCUGCCGGUGUUGAUGGCUAGGUAGCUGAGAGCCAGAUUCAUGAUCUAUCCUGUGUCAUUCCCUUCUCAUUAUUUAAACACACACACACACACACACACACACACACACACACACACGUGCUCCUCUCAUGCCUACCUCCAUUUUCAGUUCCCACCCUACCCUCUUUUUCUUUGUCAUCUGCUUCUGUUUUUUAAUAUCUUGCUGUAUUCUGUGUAUAUUUAUAUAACUGUUCUUGUGUUGAAACAAGGGGGAGCGACAUCGAACCUCCAGAACAAUCUGCCCCCUUGGCUUCAGUUUUCCUGUGCCCGUCUGGACUGUGGCCAGGAGGCGCCUAAGGGUUCCCUCAGACUGUGCAUUCAUGCGCCUCACUUCUGCUAAAGAGAUCUUUGCAAAAGCACCUCCGUUUACAGAUCUUCCACGCCACCCCCUUGGUUUUAAAAAGGGGCCACAUUUCCUAGGUGGGCCUGUGGCUGGUUAGUCGAGCUCUUCCAUCCAGUUGAGCUUCUCUGAGCACACUCCCCUCUGCCACCCCAGCCCUUCCUGUCCCUGUAUUUGUGCACUUUCCCACCCUCUCUCGGCCCCUGCACAGAGCUCUUCCCUCCAGACGCCUGUGUCUUCCACUUGCUCUGACAAAAUCUUGCUUAUCUAGAUGCCCCCACAUCCACGCCCCCAGAAUUCCACAGAGACGCCCCUGCGGUCAAUGGGCCCUUCUUCUCUUGGCCUCAUUGGUCCUUAGUGCUGGGUUUGAUAUAGAGUGAUGCUUGUUGAAUUCAUUUGAGUAUGUUGGCAUCGAUGGCUUAAAAUAAUAGCACCUUUUCCUUCCUUGCCACUAAAUUUGGGACAUUGAAGACGGAUGCUGAGAUCAGACAGAGGAGGGAAUGAGAAUACCAGCUUUAUUGCCAACCCAGUUAGAUCCUGCAGCAUAGACGUUGUCAAACCAGAUUUCCUAGGGGUUUGCUCCAAGACCAUUCGUCGGGAUGAGUCAGCUGGGGACAGUUUGGUUUUACAGAGCAGAUCUAUUUACUGAGGGUCUCUUGCUCACGCCUCAAGGGAGAGACGACCCUUCAGACUCACCCUGCAAGGAGGGCUGGGGCCGGUGCCACAUGUGCUGAGCCGGUGGACACUGAGCUGGGUGGAUAGCAGCUGCUAUGGGGACAGACCAUCCUAGAGAGAUGCCUGGAAGGCCGAAGGCUCUCAUUCAGUUCCUUAUUCCCAAUCCACCUAUCUGGUAAGUUGCUCUUCCACCAAGCGAGGGAACACAGAGGAAGAAAUGUAUCCCCUCCAUACCUCCACGGGAUGGGGUUUCUAUUUUAUGGGCCAAGAUGAUAGAAGAGAAGGAGAGUGUGUUAGGCAAAGUCUUAUAAUUAAGACAAAGCAUUUCUUGAUGAUCUGAGCAGACAUGAAUAUUGGGAUGUACUGAGAAUUAUGAUGCAUCCCAUUGUGUAAGAAAAUGACAUUAUGGACAUGUUAGGGAAAAAAAGAGUCUUUAUCCAUUAGAAAUCACACAGCAAUAUAUAUGGUGGAAUAACAUGGUAUCUUGGGUUUAUUUUAAAAUACUUUAGCCCAAAACAAUUAAACAAAGGUGAAAGGAAGAGCAGAAGUGGUGAAAUAAUUGGAAAAAUAUUAAUGAUUGGUGGCCUGGGUGAUAGGUACACAGGGGUUCAUUAUGCUAUUCUCUUCAAUUUUCUGUACACUGGAAAAUUUCCACAACAAAGUUUUAUAUGAAAGGAUAUGGAGGGGAGUUCCCGUUGUGGCUCAGCAGUAAUGCACCUGACUGGUAUCCAUGAGGAGGCGGGUUCGAUCCCUGGCCCUGCUCAGUGGGUUAAGGAUCCAACCUUGCUGGGAGCUGUGGUGUAAGUCGCAGACUUGGCUUGCAUCCUGCAUUGCUGCAGCUGUGGCAUAGGCUGGCAGCUGCAGCUCUGAUUCAACCCCUAGCCUGGGAACUUCCAUGUGCCACACGUGUGGCCCUAAGAAGCAAAAAAAGAAAAAGAAAAGAAAAA